rnacentral:rRNA from 1 species
CGAACGCUGGCGGCGUGCUUAAGACAUGCAAGUCGAGCGAGAAAGCCACCUUCGGGUGGUGAGUAAAGCGGCGCACGGGUGAGUAACGCGUGGAUAAUCUACCUGUAGGUCUGGGAUAACUCCGGGAAACUGGAGCUAAUACCGGAUAAGACCACGGGGUCUUCGGGUCUUGCGGAAAAAGGUGGCCUCUUCUUGAAAGCUACCGCCUAUCGAUGAGUCCGCGUCCCAUUAGCUUGUUGGUGAGGUAAAGGCUCACCAAGGCUUCGAUGGGUAGCUGGUCUGAGAGGAUGAUCAGCCACACUGGAACUGAGACACGGUCCAGACUCCUGCGGGAGGCAGCAGUCGGGAAUUUUGGGCAAUGGGGGAAACCCUGACCCAGCAACGCCGCGUGAGGGAUGAAGGCCCUCGGGUCGUAAACCUCUGUCGGAAGGGAAGAAAGGUCUCCGUUCGAAUAGAGCGGGGGCUUGACGGUACCUUCAAAGGAAGCACCGGCUAACUCC